GAGUUUGAUCUUGGCUCAGGAUGAACGCUGGCGGCGUGCCUAACACAUGCAAGUCGAACGGAGUUCUUAAGGAAUGCGGCUUCGGCCAAAUGACUUUUGAACUUAGUGGCGGACGGGUGAGUAACGCGUGAGCAACCUGCCUUUCAGAGGGGAGUAACAUUUGGAAACAGAUGCUAAUACCGCAUAAGAUUACAGUACCGCAUGAUACAGUGAUCAAAGGAGCAAUCCGCUGAAAGAUGGGCUCGCGUCCGAUUAGAUAGUUGGUGAGGUAACGGCUCGCCAAGUCGACGAUCGGUAGCCGGACUGAGGAGGUUGAACGGCCACAUUGGGACUGAGACACGGCCCAGACUCCUACGGGAGGCAGCAGUGGGGAAUAUUGCACAAUGGGCGAAAGCCUGAUGCAGCAACGCCGCGUGAGGGAAGACGGUUUUCGGAUUGUAAACCUCUGUUUCGGUGACGAAC
rnacentral:rRNA from 1 species